rnacentral:snRNA from 1 species
UAGAGAUUUGGGAUGGAGAAAU